CGGACGGGUGAGUAACGCGUGAGAAUCUGCCUUCAGGACGGGGAUAACAGUUGGAAACGACUGCUAAGACCGGAUGUGCCGAGAGGUGAAAUAUUUAUAGCCUGAAGAUGAGCUCGCGUCCGAUUAGCUAGUUGGUAAGGUAAAAGCGUACCAAGGCGACGAUCGGUAGCUGGUCUGAGAGGACGAUCAGCCACACUGGGACUGAGACACGGCCCAGACUCCUACGGGAGGCAGCAGUGGGGAAUUUUCCGCAAUGGGCGAAAGCCUGACGGAGCAAGACCGCGUGGGGGAGGAAGGUUCUUGGAUUGUAAACCCCUUUUCUCAGGGAAGAACACAAUGACGGUACCUGAGGAAUCAGCAUCGGCUAACUCCGUGCCAGCAGCCGCGGUAAUACGGAGGAUGCAAGCGUUAUCCGGAAUAAUUGGGCGUAAAGCGUCCGUAGGUGGCUGUUCAAGUCUGCCGUUAAAGACCGGGGCUUAACCCUGGAAAGGCGGUGGAAACUGAACGGCUAGAGUGCAGUAGGGGUAGAGGGAAUUCCCAGUGUAGCGGUGAAAUGCGUAGAGAUUGGGAAGAACACCGGUGGCGAAAGCGCUCUGCUGGACUGCAACUGACACUGAGGGACGAAAGCUAGGGGAGCGAAUGGGAUUAGAUACCCCAGUAGUC
rnacentral:rRNA from 1 species